rnacentral:rRNA from 17 species
GUGUUCAGUGAAAUCGAGUAGGGCGGGACACGUGAUAUCCUGUCUGAAUAUGGGGGGACCAUCCUCCAAGGCUAAAUACUACUGACUGACCGAUAGUGAACCAGUACCGUGAGGGAAAGGCGAAAAGAACCCCUGUGAGGGGAGUGAAAUAGAACCUGAAACCGUGUACGUACAAGCAGUAGGAGCAGGCUUUGUCCUGUGACUGCGUACCUUUUGUAUAAUGGGUCAGCGACUUAUAUUCAGUGGCAAGGUUAACCAUCUAGGGGAGCCGUAGGGAAACCGAGUCUUAACUGGGCGUUCAGUCUCUGGAUAUAGACCCGAAACCAGGUGAUCUAGCCAUGGGCAGGUUGAAGGUUGAGUAACAUCAACUGGAGGACCGAACCGACUAAUGUUGAAAAAUUAGCGGAUGACUUGUGGCUAGGGGUGAAAGGCCAAUCAAACCUGGAGAUAGCUGGUUCUCCCCGAAAGCUAUUUAGGUAGCGCCUCGGACGAAUACUACUGGGGGUAGAGCACUGUUAAGGCUAGGGGGUCAUCCCGACUUACCAACCCUUUGCAAACUCCGAAUACCAGUAAGUACUAUCCGGGAGACACACGGCGGGUGCUAACGUCCGUCGUGGAGAGGGAAACAACCCAGACCGCCAGCUAAGGUCCCAAAUUACUACUAAGUGGGAAACGAUGUGGGAAGGCUCAGACAGCCAGGAUGUUGGCUUAGAAGCAGCCAUCAUUUAAAGAAAGCGUAAUAGCUCACUGGUCGAGUCGGCCUGCGCGGAAGAUGUAACGGGGCUAAGUAGUAAACCGAAGCUGCGGCAAUAUACUUUUGUAUAUUGGGUAGGGGAGCGUUCUGUAAGCGGUUGAAGGUGUGUGGUAACGCAUGCUGGACGUAUCAGAAGUGCGAAUGCUGACAUGAGUAACGAUAAAGGGGGUGAAAAACCUCCUCGCCGGAAGACCAAGGGUUCCUGUCCAACGUUAAUCGGGGCAGGGUAAGUCGACCCCUAAGGCGAGGCCGAAAGGCGUAGUCGAUGGGAAACGGGUUAAUAUUCCCGUACUUCUUACAAUUGCGAUGGGGGGACGGAGAAGGCUAGGUGGGCCUGGCGACGGUUGUCCAGGUUCAAGUGCGUAGGCUUAAGAGUUAGGUAAAUCCGGCUCUUUUUAAGGCUGAGACACGACGUCGAGCACCUACGGGUGUGAAGUCAUUGAUGCCAUGCUUCCAGGAAAAGCCUCUAAGCUUCAGAUUGUAAGGAAUCGUACCCCAAACCGACACAGGUGGUCGGGUAGAGAAUACCAAGGCGCUUGAGAGAACUCGGGUGAAGGAACUAGGCAAAAUGGUACCGUAACUUCGGGAGAAGGUACGCUCUUGAUGGUGAAGUCCCUCGCGGAUGGAGCUGACGAGAGUCGCAGAUACCAGGUGGCUGCAACUGUUUAUUAAAAACACAGCACUGUGCAAAAUCGUAAGAUGACGUAUACGGUGUGACGCCUGCCCGGUGCCGGAAGGUUAAUUGAUGGGGUUAGACUUCGGUCGAAGCUCUUGAUCGAAGCCCCGGUAAACGGCGGCCGUAACUAUAACGGUCCUAAGGUAGCGAAAUUCCUUGUCGGGUAAGUUCCGACCUGCACGAAUGGCGUAAUGAUGGCCACGCUGUCUCCACCCGAGACUCAGUGAAAUUGAAAUCGCUGUGAAGAUGCAGUGUACCCGCGGCUAGACGGAAAGACCCCGUGAACCUUUACUACAGCUUGGCACUGAACAUUGACCCUACAUGUGUAGGAUAGGUGGGAGGCUUUGAAGCACGUACGCCAGUAUGUGUGGAGCCGUCCUUGAAAUACCACCCUUGUAGUGUUGAUGUUCUAACGUCGACCCCUAAUCGGGGUUGCGGACAGUGCCUGGUGGGUAGUUUGACUGGGGCGGUCUCCUCCCAAAGAGUAACGGAGGAGCACGAAGGUGGGCUAAUCACGGUUGGACAUCGUGAGGUUAGUGCAAUGGCAUAAGCCCGCUUGACUGCGAGAAUGACAAUUCGAGCAGGUGCGAAAGCAGGUCAUAGUGAUCCGGUGGUUCUGAAUGGAAGGGCCAUCGCUCAACGGAUAAAAGGUACUCCGGGGAUAACAGGCUGAUACCGCCCAAGAGUUCAUAUCGACGGCGGUGUUUGGCACCUCGAUGUCGGCUCAUCACAUCCUGGGGCUGAAGUCGGUCCCAAGGGUAUGGCUGUUCGCCAUUUAAAGUGGUACGCGAGCUGGGUUUAGAACGUCGUGAGACAGUUCGGUCCCUAUCUGCCGUGGGCGUUGGAAGAUUGAAGGGGGCUGCUCCUAGUACGAGAGGACCGGAGUGGACGAA